rnacentral:lncRNA from 1 species
AUCAGGGUCUGGGCGGCGUUGGGGUAAGACGUGCUACUAGGAUAACACCGGAUGUUUAUACCAGAAAUGAACAAACCAUCACAUCUUUCUUUCCAUCCUCUAUCUGUCUCUCCAGAGCCUGCCGUACUCAGCAUGUUGGUGAAGUGAUAGCUAGAUAAAUAAAAAUGCCGGAGUCCUGCUAUCACUGGUCAGGGGAAGAGGUGAAUGUCAUCGUCUCAAUAUGGUCAGACAAGGCAAUACUGCGUGCAUUACGUUCGUCUGACUCUGAGUAUCGAGGUGCCGCCAAGGUGUACCAUGAGAUCUUGGUGCGCCUUCGCAAAUUAGGUUAUAAGGGAACCGUCCAGUAAUGUCGUGACAAACUAAAAAAACUAAAGGGUCAGUACAAAGAAAUUAAGGCAAACGGUUCCGACCGCCGGAGUUAUUUUCCACCAUCAUGGUUCUAUGCCAUGGACGCUGUACUGGGACAGCAACUCAGAAAGCCAGUACUGAGAAGUGGCAAAGCCACCGUAUCACAAAAAAACGACAAAUCUUCAUUCAGUUGGACACCUGACGAGGUCCAUGGUCUCCUUGUUCACCAACCAGGAACUUUAGGGUCUGAGGCGGUAAAUUCAUCUACUAUGCUGCUGGAGCCGACUCAACCUGAUUGCCCUGUAGAAGAGGAACAUUCUGAUCAAUCUGCAUCCAGUUGGACACCUGAUGAGGUCCAUGGACUCCUUGGUCACCAACCAGGAACUUCAGGGGCUAAGGUGAUAAAUUCUGCUACUAUGCUGCUGGAGUUGACUCAAGCGUAUUCCCUGUAAAAGAGGAACCUUAUGGUCCCGGUUUACCUCUAUCCUCACUGCGUCUCCAUGCUCCACCAUUACACUUGAUGUCAGCAUUCAUGUGGCAAGUGGCUCAGCAGUGUCAUGACGUUGCCCUCUUUGGGUACAGCGAGCACCAUCCCCCUCUCCCUCUCUAUACCCCUUUCACCAAGCUCUGUAAGAGAGGUCGUAAAUUCCUAGAGAAGAUCCUGCCUCAUGGCUAGACAGUAUAGAGAGAGUGAGUUUCAUAGAGAGAACAAAGGAAUUUCUUCCACCUCACAGAACUGAGAACCGAACGACAUUUAUGUUCUGGAGAAUGUAUAACAGAUCAGUGAAGAAUCCAGCUACGAACUGGUCCAUUUGGUACAAUUUUGUGAAACUCAUGGGAGAGACAUUACCAUAACGCUGUUUAUACAAUAGCCUCAGCUAUGAGGCGUACAUCUAAUUGUUGUAUAAAAUGAAUGAGUGGGGAUGGAACUGUUUGUGAAAUUGUGUAAUGUGAUUUUGGACUGUUUAAUGAAGGAAACUCCAAUUCCCUUUGGAGUUUAACUAAAUCAGAGGACCACCCAUGAGAACAGUUAUGGUCUGGCGUCAUGGGACAGACCCUUUUCUGCUCUUCCGAAUAAAACCCCCACCUAGGUUUUCUAUCACCAGACCAGCUUACCUCGAUAACGAGAGGGCCAAGGUUUGAGAGGAGACCAGCUUACCUCGAUAACGAGAGGGCCAAGAUUUGAGAGGAGACCAGGUUACCUCGAUAACGAGAGGGCCAAGGCUUGAGAGGAGACCAGCUUACCUCGAUAACGAGAGGGCCAAGGUUUGAGAGAAGACCGAGCUUACCUCAAUUACGAGAUGGCUAUAGGUUGUAGACCAUGCAUUUCUUUUGCUGAACUUUUAACCAUACCACGUGGUUAACCUCUAUGGGCUAGGUGGGACGUGCGUCCCACCUACGUAACAGCCACUGCCAGCCUGUGGCGCGAUUUUCAAAACCUUAAAAAUCCUAUUACUUCAAUUUCUCAAACAUAUGACUAUUUUACAGCCAUUUAAAGACAAGACUCUCGUUAAUCUAACCACACUGUCCGAUUUCAAAAAGGCUUUACAACGAAAGCAAAACAUUAGAUUAUGUCAGCAGAGUACCAAGCCAGAAAUAAUCAGACACCCAUUUUUCAAGCCAGCAUAUAAUGUCACCAAAACCCAGAAGACAGCUAAAUGCAGCACUCACCUUUGAUGAUCUUCAUCAGAUGACAACCCUAGGACAUUAUGUUAUACAAUACAUGCAUGUUUUGUUCAAUCAAG